GCGGCAAAAGCUCAAAUUUGAAAUCUGGCGCCUUCGGUGUCCGAGUUGUAAUUUGAAGAUUGUAACCUUGGGGUUGGCUCUUGUCUAUGUUUCUUGGAACAGGACGUCACAGAGGGUGAGAAUCCCGUGCGAUGAGAUGCCCAAUUCUAUGUAAGGUGCUUUCGAAGAGUCGAGUUGUUUGGGAAUGCAGCUCUAAGUGGGUGGUAAAUUCCAUCUAAAGCUAAAUAUUGGCGAGAGACCGAUAGCGAACAAGUACAGUGAUGGAAAGAUGAAAAGAACUUUGAAAAGAGAGUGAAAAAGUACGUGAAAUUGUUGAAAGGGAAGGGUUUGAGAUCAGACUCGAUAUUUUGUGAGCCUUGCCUUCGUGGCGGGGUGACCCGCAGCUUAUCGGGCCAGCAUCGGUUUGGGCGGUAGGAUAAUGGCGUAGGAAUGUGACUUUACUUCGGUGAAGUGUUAUAGCCUGCGUUGAUGCUGCCUGCCUAGACCGAGGACUGCGAUUUUAUCAAGGAUGCUGGCAUAAUGAUCCCAAACCGCCCGUCUUGA
rnacentral:rRNA from 1 species